rnacentral:rRNA from 1 species
UACGAAGGGGGCGAGCGUUGUUCGGAUUUACUGGGCGUAAAGGGCGCGUAGGCGGCGGGUCAAGUCGAGUGUGAAAGCCCCGGGCUCAACCUGGGAAUUGCGCUCGAGACUGGUCUGCUUGAGUUCGGGAGAGGAGAGUGGAAUUCCCAGUGUAGAGGUGAAAUUCGUAGAUAUUCGCAAGAACACCAGUGGCGAAGGCGGCUCACUGGCCCGAUACUGACGCUGAGGCACGAAAGCGUGGGGAGCAAACAGG